UCAAAGAAGAAGGAUCCUUUGGCUCGUGAGGUCAUGGGUAGAUUUCACGCUCAAGUUUUAAGCGCCUUCAAUUCUGAUAUCGUUUCUAUCGAGGUUCUUUGAACGGGUUUCUGUUCCGGUGUGUUUCCGGUGGAUCGCCGAUUAGAACCUUGCCGGAAUCGUUCUGCCGGCUGAGAUCGGUGGUGACUCGUAUGGUGGACACGUGUCCAGGCCACGCUAUAUGUUAACGCGUGAUGUCCAAGUCGACCGCGUUCUUUUCUA
rnacentral:lncRNA from 1 species